GUCCACGCCGUAAACGAUGGGCACUAGGUGCUUUGGGGAGCGACCCCGGGUACCGGGCGCUAACGCAUGAAGUGCCCCGCCCUGGGGAGGUACGGCCGCAAGGCUGAAACUCAAAGGAAUUGACGGGGGCCCGGCACAAGCGGUGGAGCAUGUGGUUUAAUUCGACGCAACGCGCAGAACCUUACCUAGGCUUGACAUGCACGGGACAGCUGCUGGAAACAGUGGCCUCUCUUCGGAGCCCGUGCACAGGUGCUGCAUGGCUGUCGU
rnacentral:rRNA from 1 species